rnacentral:tRNA from 1 species
GUCCAGGAAUGGGAAUCGAACCCACAGUGUUCCGCUUACCGGGCAGAUGCCAUGUCUACUAGGCUUACCCUGGA